AGACAAUGGUGAAGCCAUCUUAUCAUCAAAUUAAAUUGCUCUCAAGCUUCAUGAAAACUCUCUCCUUUCAUCUGCUUGAAAUUCAUAAUCUCUCUUCUCAGUUG
rfam:Gossypium arboreum cultivar AKA8401 contig_55887_1, whole genome shotgun sequence.